UAGAGGGCUCUCUGAGUGGGGUCCAGCAGAGCCCCCUGCCUCUGGGUGAAAUACACAGCCACUUCCUCGAAGCUCACCGGCACCUCAGCUGGCUCCAUCACAGCCAUUUC